AUCAGCGACCAUACAACGUAGAAAGCACCGGUUCCCGUCCGAUCACCGGGGUUAAAUUACGACGAAUCAAAUUAGUACUUGCAUGCCUAACCAUCUGAGAAUACCCGGUGUACCUUGGG
rnacentral:rRNA from 1 species